rnacentral:sRNA from 1 species
GUAAUGAUUCAUUGGUGUGGCGCAAGACAAGUCAAAGCACCAGUGUUUCAACUAAGAAAGAAGAUGAGACAAUCACAAGGCCCGUCCCCUCGGAAGAAACAUCCAUAGGAAUAAAUAUUACAACGGUGGCUAUUCCAUUGGUGCUCCUUGUUGUCCUGGUGUUUGCUGGAAUGGGGAUCUUUGCAGCCUUUAGAAAAAGAAGAAAGGAAGUCCGUAUGGAUCAGCAGAGGCUCAGAAAACAGACUGUUGGAAGCAGAUUAAAUAUCCCUUUGCCAGACAUCAGUCAGCUGAGUUUACCAUCAGCUAUGAUAAUGAGAAGGAGAUGACUCAAAAAUUAGAUCUCAUCACAAGUGAUAUGGCAGAUUACCAGCAGCCCCUCAUGAUUGG